GUAUAGGCUACACAUUGCAGAUUCGCAAUCGCAUGGACAUUCCAGAGGGACACCGACUGCAUUUACGAGCACACACAACACUCAGCAGUGAUGCUACCCCACAACGAGAUUGAAAACUCCCGGUUUGAGUCACCUCGACUUUAGAAUGGUGCAGAAAAAUGUUAACGGUGGGGUUUACCCAACUCAAGCCGGAGAGAAGAAGCACAAAGUCGGCUUUGUCGGAUUGGACCCCGGGGCUCCCGAAUCUAGCAGGGACGGGGCGCAGCUGAUUGCGGGCUCGGAAAGCACAAAGCGGACCAGUAUCCUAUGCAGACGGAGGUCCAGUGCCAUAAGAGGUGGGAGAACGCCGAAGAAAAACCCCAGCUAUAGGAAACUACAGAAUUUUCUAUAUAAUGCACUUGAAAGACCGCGGGGAUGGGCGUUUAUUUACCACGCUUAUGUCUUCCUGUUGGUGUUUUCCUGUCUCAUCCUCUCUGUUUUCGCUACCAUCAACGAGUUCAAGAACAGUUCUGAGACUGCCUUGUACAUUCUGGAAAUAGUGACCAUCGUGGUGUUUGGAGUUGAGUACAUUGUGAGGAUAUGGGCGGCGGGCUGCUGCUGUCGCUACAGAGGAUGGAGGGGAAGGCUGAAAUUCGCCCGCAAGCCUUUCUGUGUUAUCGACAUCAUGGUCUUGAUAGCAUCUGUGUCGGUGCUGGCUGCUGGCUCCCAGGGAAAUGUCUUCGCCACCUCUGCCAUCCGCAGUCUCCGCUUCUUGCAGAUCCUCCGCAUGCUGCGGAUGGACCGGCGCGGGGGCACCUGGAAACUUCUAGGAUCAGUGGUCUAUGCCCACAGCAAGGAACUAAUCACUGCUUGGUACAUAGGCUUCCUCUGUCUCAUCCUGGCUAGUUUCCUGGUGUACUCGGUCGAGAAAGAUGACAACGACAUGUUUGAGACCUAUGCUGAUGCCCUGUGGUGGGGGCUGAUCACCCUGACCACCAUAGGCUAUGGGGAUAAGUUCCCAAAGACCUGGAAUGGACGUCUGCUGGCUGCAAUGUUCAGUAUGAUAGGAGUGGCUUUCUUUGCGCUCCCAGCUGGUAUCCUGGGGUCUGGUUUUGCUCUGAAGGUCCAGGAGCAGCACAGACAGAAGCAUUUUGAGAAGCGACGCCAACCUGCUGCUGGUCUGAUACAGAAUGCUUGGCGAUUUUAUGCUACGAAUCUCGCUCGGACUGAUCUGCUGUCGACAUGGGAUUUUUAUGAGGAGAAUGUUUCUCUACCAAUGUACAGACUCAUACCCCCCCUCAAUCAACUGGACCUCCUGAGGAAUCUGAAGGCCAAAUCCUUCAGCAGGAAGGACUCUCAGACAGAAGCCUCCCCCAGGUCUGUUAUUCAACCAGCCUUUGUUGUUUUACCACACACUUCUUCUACCCCCUUUUGGCUUUCAAUUCUGCUCAAAGCUGCUGAGGCACUCUUCUUGAGGGAGAGUGUGUGUGUGUGUGUGUGUGUGUGUGUGUGUGUGUGUGUGUGUGUGUGUGUGUGUGUGUGUGUGUGUGUGUGUGUGUCGGGGCAGAAAGGACUGAGGUUUUGAUGAGUCUUGUUUUUUUACAAUGUGUUUCAGAUAUGAAUGUACCUUUUUGAUAAGAUCCUCCUUCAAGAACAGUGGCCUUACAUUUACCCACAGUGCCCUAGCUCAGGGGUUCCCACACUUUUUUUAUUCAGGCCCCCCUUCCAGCAUUGGGAAACAUCCAUCUAUUUCUAUGCACACAGGCACCGUUCGUGACACGAACUGUUCACACACCUCUAAAUGUGCAGGUUCAAAGCUUAUUUUCCUGUAAUUCUUCAUGUUUUGCCAUGGGGUGCAGAGAAAAUGUUGUAGUUUUGAAGCUAAUUUUCUUGCAGUGUCUAAUGUGUAUUCAUGAGAUAUUUGAAUGAUUCAAACCUUACAACAACAUCUAUGGGCAAAAAAAAACCUAGCGAAAAAAGUUACCUGACUUGGGCUAGUUGAUCUGGACAUUCCUGACAAGUUAUAAGUACAGUCACUUUCUAAGGUAGGCAAUGGCUGACACGAGAAAAGGAUAACUGAUGGUGCACAACCCAAUUUCGAAAUUGUACCUUGUUCAUUCUACUAUUACAAGCUUCAAGAUUAAUUUGAAAGCAGGAUGAGUUCCUUAAAUCAAUCUACCGUACCAGUCAAAAGUUUGGACACCUACUCAUUCAAUGGUUUUUAUUUUAUUUUUACUACAAUGAAAUUAUUACUAUUUUUAAUACAAUGAAAUAACACCCAUGGAAUCAUGUAGUAAUCAAAAGUGUUAAACAAAUAAAUGUUGUUUUUCUUAUAGUUGAGGUUCUUCAGAGUAGCCACCGUUUACCUUGAUGACAGCUUUGAACAUUGUUGGAAUUCUCUCAACCAAGCUUCAUGAGCUUGUCACCUGGAAUGCAUUUCAAUUAACAGGUGUGGCUUGUUAAAAGUUAAUUUGUGGAAUUUCUUUCCUUCUAAAUGUGUUUGAGCCAAUCACUUGCGUUGUGACAAGGUAGGAGUAGAAUACAGAAGAUAGCCCUAUUUGGUAAAAGACCAAGUCCAUAUUAUCUUAAGAACAGCUCAAAUAAGCAAAGAGAAACGACAGUCGAUCAUUACUUUAACUGCACCUCAUAUUGCAGCCCAAAAAUAAAUGCUUCACAGAGUUCAAGUAACAGACACAUCUCAACAUCAUUUGUUCAGAAGAGACUGUGUGAAUCACCAAUAAGAAGAGAUUUUUCUUGGACCAAGAAACACAAGAAAUGGACAUAGACCAGUGGAAAUCUGUCCUUUGGUCUGAUUAGUCCAAAUUUGAGAUUUUUGGUUCCCACCGCCGUGUCUUUGUGAGACACAGAGGAUCUCCGCAUGUGUGGUUUCCAACAUGAAGCAUGGAGGAGGAGGUGUGGGGGUGCUUUGCUAGUGACAUUGUCAUGAUUUAUUUAGAAUUCAAGGCACACUUAACCAUCAUGGCUACCACAGCAUUCUCCAGCGAUAGGCCAUCCCAUCUGGUUUGUGCUUAGUGGGACUAUCAUUUGUAUUUCAACAGGACAGUGACCCAAACACACCUCCAGGCUGCGUAAGGGCUAUUUGACCAAGAAGGAGAGUAAUGGAGUGCUGCAUCAGAUGACCUGGCCUCCAUAAUCAUCUGACCUCAACCCAAUUGAGAUGGUUUGGGAUGUGUUGGACCACAGAGUAAAGUAAAAGUAGCCAACAAGUGCUCAGCAUGUGUGGGAACUCCUUCAAGACUGUUGGAAAAGCAUUCCUCAUGAAGCUGGUUGAGAGAAUGCCAAGAGUGUGCAAAGCUGUCAUCAAGGUAAAGGGUGACUAACUUUGAAGAAUCUCAAAUAUUAAAUAUAAUUUGAUUAGUUUUUUGGUUACUACAUGAUUCCAUAUGUGUUACUUCAUAGUUUUGAUCUUCACUAUUAUUCUGCAAUGUAGAAAAUAGUACAAAUAAAGAAAAACCCAUGAAUGAGUAGGUGUGUACAAACUUUUGACUGGUACUCUAUAUAUAUUUUUGAUCUAUCUAUUUAUAGAUAUAUUUCUUUGAGGGGGUGGGGACCCCCGCGCCCCUGACAGUUUGGGAACCACUGCCCUAGCUAAGCUCACUUUGCCCUCACUGCCAACAUUAAGCUUUUAUCCACAAUUCUAGGUCCUUUCCCAAGAUCAACAUUUGAAAUGUGUUAAUUACCCCACCGGCAUAGAGAACAUGGCCUUAGUGACCCAGUAACAUAUAUGAAUUUCAUAAUGGGUCACUGUAAGGCCAUGUCUUUGCGAUUUGUUGAACGAUUACAUUUAACAGCCAAUGCUGUGGUGUGGACUGUAGAUAUGUCUGCCUACUGUUUCUGAUUGACAGAGGGCUUUGCAUAGGCGCUUUGUUGCAUUUUUUUUAUGUGGGACAAAAAAAAUAUUCCUGCAAUGUUUAUUUUCCAGAACGGUUGGAUCACUUUUGUUCCAGGUUCUGUUUCUGUUCCUUUAACAAAUAAAUACAAAUUCUAUUGGAAACAAGUAGAGGGUGUUACAUUUACAGUAUGUGAUGCAAGGUGCAACCUAAACGUGUAAACAUCAUUGGAAAGGAAAAGGCUCAACGCUCGCUUUACCAUUACAAAUUCUUAGUUUUAUUAAGUUAGUUUAUUUUCCUGUUUUCCUGGUCUUGCAUUAAUAAUGCAGUAUUUUGGUCUGUGUUAUUGUGUAAGGCCCCACUGUUAUAAAAUGAUAACCGAUUCGUCAUAUCAUUCCAAACAGUUUUUUUUCUCCCAUUAUUUUCUGAUUAAUCAAAGUACUUAGAAUAUGUUCUAAGUCUUCAACCAUUCCUCAUCUUCUACCAUUGCUCAUUCUUGCAUCAUAUCAUCCUCUUACUGACCAUUACAAGGUCAGCCACUUCAUUUUUCAGAUGCACUUAAUUCCUCCAUCACUGUUAUCUUUUGUGUCUCCUCUACUGCCCACCAUUCCACUAUCUCGCUCUCCAAUGUCCAGUAUUGACCAUUCACACAAAGACGACAUGCUUUGUGGGUGCUGCCCGAGAACCUAUAGGUACUGUUGCACAGAUACUAACAUCUGCACUGCAAGUAUUUAAGUCUCUAUAUACCUGUCCUUACUUUCCUAUCUGUUCUUAUAUUUUCCCACUUUUGACACAUGUUCAGCUGAGUAGAUGAAGCACAUGACUAGCUGACUCUUUUUAAUCCCCCUCAGCUAUUGAGAAUCAGUCAAAUGUAACAUUAAAUUAUCCACAUAGCAUAUAGACAUUCACUUCUCUUUGAAGUAAAAAACUGAAUCUUUUCUGCACAUUUACCUGAACAGCUUCCUAGAAAAUACAGAUGUACGUCUUAGUUUUUUGUGACAGAGCAUUGAUUUGUUGUUUCUCUUAUGCAGUUUUUUUCCCCGCUUGUUGGCUUUUUGCUUAGUCAUCCCUUUGACAACGUUUGUUGAAAAGCAAGAAAACAACAUGCCUUUUACGUUGGUAUCUAACAAGCAUUUCCUUUGAAAUGAUUCCCACAUACAGUACAGUGGGAGACAUGAUGGUUAACCCUGUCUGCAUGACCUGAUUACUUUUUGCAUAGAGAUGACAACCCUUCUUUUUCUUUUUGAGGCUUAUCACUGUGCUUCCCAUGCAUGCUUGCUUGUUGCUUCUGCUGCUUGCCUGACCGAAUGUUCGACUAUGUGCACACGGAAAAGGCUCCUUCCGCUGUAGGACAUUGCCUCAUUUUAAGUUACCGUAAGAGCCGGAAGCCUAGCCUAAAGGACAAGGUGCAUCCUAGUCCUUCCAAGAUGGCUGGGGCCACAGGGAGGUCCCAGUCCCCUGGGCCUGAA